rnacentral:rRNA from 1 species
UACGUAGGGUGCGAGCGUUAAUCGGAAUUACUGGGCGUAAAGUGUGCGCAGGCGGCGUUGCAAGUCGAGUGUGAAAUCCCCGAGCUUAACUUGGGAAUUUGCGCUCGAAACUACGAUGCUCGAGUGUGGCAGAGGAAGGUGGAAUUCCACGUGUAGCGGUGAAAUGCGUAGAGAUGUGGAGGAACACCGAUGGCGAAGGCAGCCCUU